rnacentral:rRNA from 1 species
GUGAGGAAUAUUGGACAAUGGGCGCAAGCCUGAUCCAGCCAUGCCGCGUGCAGGAAGACGCAUCUAUGGUGUGUAAACUGCUUUUGUACGGGAAGAAACACUCCCUCGUGAGGGAGCUUGACGGUACCGUAAGAAUAAGGAUCGGCUAACUCCGUGCCAGCAGCCGCGGUAAUACGGAGGAUCCAAGCGUUAUCCGGAAUCAUUGGGUUUAAAGGGUCCGUAGGCGGUUUAAUAAGUCAGUGGUGAAAGACCAUCGCUCAACGAUGGAACGGCCAUUGAUACUGUUAGACUUGAAUUACAAGGAAGUAACUAGAAUAUGUAGUGUAGCGGUGAAAUGCUUAGAUAUUACAUGGAAUACCAAUUGCGAAGGCAGGUUACUACUUGUGGAUUGACGCUGAUGGACGAAAGCGUGGGGAGCGAACAGGAUUAGAUACCCGAGUAGUCC